rnacentral:lncRNA from 1 species
AUGUUUUUUACAAGGAAGAGAGUUGGUAAGGACAUCAAGCUUAAGUUGUAUGAUGAAGAAUUAGAAAGGGUGAGUAACUUUAAGUUUCUUGGAUUGUGGUUUGAUGAAAGGUUAACAUGGGCUGCACAUAUUCAGAAGGUGGUGGACAAAUGUAAGAAAGUGUUGAAUAUAAUGAGGUGUUUAGUUGGGAGGGACUGGGGAGUGGAUAGGAAGUCUUUGAGGGCCAUAUACACUGGGUUGGUCAGAUCACUGUUGGAUUAUGGGUGUGUAGCAUAUAACUCGGCAGCAGCCACAGCUCUGGUAAAGUUAGACCAUAUUCAGUAUCAGGCACUACGAAUUUGCACGGGUGCAUUUAAAACAACUCCAACAGCAGCUUUACAGGUGGAGAUGGGAGAGAUGCCAUUAGGACUGAGAAGGGAGCAGCUCACACUUAAUUAUUGGGCUAAUUUACAGGGCCACGGGCAGGAUCACCCAACGCAUGAAGUACUUAAACCUUGCUGGGAGAAAGAAAAGAGGGAAACGAAGAGCUUUGGGUGGAUUGUGGGGAGACAUGCAACAGAAUUUAAUCUGGAUCAGUUGAACAUUAGUCACAGAGUGCCGUUACCAGCAGUGCCUCCAUGGCUACUUCCUGAUGCUGUAGUAGACUUAACAUUGUUGAACAAGAAGAAUGAGGGUAAGGCAUUUACUUUGAACUCUCAUGCGGUACAGGCUUACAUUGACCAAUAUUAUAGUUAUGUUCAAAUAUAUACAGACGCCUCAAAGAACUCAACCGGACAAACCGGUGUUGCAGUUGUGGUCCCAGAGUUUUCGGUGGAAAUGGGUAACAGGAUUAGUGAUGGGCUUUCUGUAUACACUGGGGAAAUGAUCGCAAUAUUAUUAGCUGUUCAGUGGGUGGAAGACGUGAGGCCAUUACAUGCUGUCAUUUGUUCAGAUUCAAGUUCGUCAUUAGUCAGUUUACUGCAUAGUCACUCAGACAGUAGGGCAGAUGUUUUGGGGGAAAUUCAGCAGACACUUUUCCGGCUACACAUGAUGGGACUUGCUGUUGUGUUUUUAUGGGUUCCAGCGCACUGUGGAGUAUGGGCAAAUGAACAGGCAGAUAGAGUUGCAAAGGAGGCCGUAAGGCACGGGGUGGUUGACAUGGCUGUUAGUAUUGGCCAAGCAGAGAUAAGGAGUAUGAUAAGGCAAGUUAUGAGAGCUAGAUGGCAAAAGCAGUGGGAGGAGGAAAGGAAGGACGAUGGUUGUAUAAGAUUCAAAGGAGGGUGGGAGGAAUGA